GGUUUUCUGACCUACUCUUUUGAGCAUAGGAUCUUUGCGUGGCAUUCCACUUUCCUAGAAGUGACUGAGUUUCAGUGGCAAAAAGAUAUAUUAAGCAUUCAGGAUACUCUGAGUUGUGCCCGUCCUCAUAUAUAGUUACCGGGGCUGGCAGGUUAGAGUAAGCUGAGUGGUAUUAAGGUCAGUAUGUGGUAACUGAGAACAUGAUCCAACAGCUGUCAAACACAUCUUUUUCAUUUGGUGGGGGGAAGGGGGCUCCUGCUGAAUUCAGUGAGGUUUCCAACUAUGAUGUGAUAGCGGUAGUUACAUACUUAGCCUAUUUAAUCUUCUUGUAUUUUUAGUAUAAUACUUCCCCUCUUGAACGCACCCAUAAAAUCUACUUGUUCUCUCUCUCCAUUUCAAUAUAUGGCUUUAAUUUUUAAUCUUUUCUCCGAUGACUCCCUUUUAAAUUGAAACCAGACAUUAUUGUGUGUAUUUAUUUCAUGCCUUUGGUGAUCUUUGAAGACUCAGUAAGAAUUACAUUCUGUGCUUCUCUUUUCCUCUUACUUUUAAUCUAUCAGUCUAUGGUCAGUCAUUCUUCACAACCAUUACUACAACCCUUUCUUGUCAAUUUGUCCUGAACAUGAGGUGACUUAUUCAAUUAUCCCUCUUCCGAUUCAAGUUUUCUCAUCCACGUAAUCAAGACAAGCUGACCAGCAGAUGGGAAAUAGCUACCUCCACGACUUCAACACAGGCUUUUCUCUUUGUCCCUUCACUACCUGGAAGGCUGUAACUAAAUGAGUGUGAAAUCCUCAAAAAAUUGUCCAAAAAACUGUCUGUAACUGAUAACAGCUUUGUUUCCUCUUUGUCAUUUGCAGGUAUUUAUGUUCUCCCAUGGCAACACAGAUCUGCUGGUCACGAAACACCUACAGAUGUCAUUCUGAAACUGCCCAGCCUUUAAGAUGGCUGUAAACUCCAGGUUGGACAAUUUUCAGCACCGUUUCCAGAAUGUUCAAGCUGCUGGCUGCAUUGAGACUGGAAGUCCUCUGGAAAAAGCACUGCGGCAUCCCUCGGCCAUCGGUGGCAGUGAUACGGAGCGGGUGAGCCACGCAAAUCAUUUUGGAACAGGAGAUGAGGCAAGGUGGAAGCAAAAAACCAUAAGCAUUUUUUCAGAACUGCUGCUUGAAAAGAUUUUAAGAACCCUUUUGGGUUUUGGCAUCCUUUUUAAAAAAAAAAAAAAAAAAAAAGGAACUGCACAAAAAUUAGUCACCAAACUUACAGAAAGGAAUGACAGUCACAAAACAGGACCAGAGGCAGUUGUGAUAUUAGCAACCACCCCUUCGACACGGUGGUUACGUAGGCAUUGA
rnacentral:lncRNA from 1 species